rnacentral:rRNA from 1 species
GACGUAGGGAGCGAGCGUUGUCCGGAAUUACUGGGCGUAAAGAGCUCGUAGGCGGGACCGUAAGUCCGAGAGGAAAUCUCAAGGCUCAACUUUGGGGCUUUCUUGGAUACUGCGGUUCUUGAGGAUGAGAGAGGUAAGUAGAAUUCCCGGUGUAGCGGUGAAAUGCGUAGAUAUCGGGAGGAAUACCAGUGGCGAAGGCGGCUUACUGGCCCGGUACUGACGCUGAGACGCGAAAGCGUGGGGAGCGAACAGG